ACGUAGGUGGCGAGCGUUGUCCGGAAUUACUGGGCGUAAAGGGUCCGUAGGCUGUCGGAUAAGUCUCCUGUGAAAUCUCCACGCUCAACGUGGAAUGGUCGGGAGAUACUGUUUGACUAGAGACUGUCAGAGGCAGGUGGAAUUCCCGGAGUAGUGGUGAAAUACAUCGAUAUCGGGAGGAACACCGGUGGCGAAAGCGGCCUGCUGGGGCAGAUCUGACGCUGAUGGACUAAAGCGUGGGGAGCGAACCGG
rnacentral:rRNA from 1 species